UGGGGAAUAUUGGACAAUGGGCGGAAGCCUGAUCCAGCCAUGCCGCGUGUGUGAAGAAGGCCUUUUGGUUGUAAAGCACUUUAAGCGAGGAGGAGGCUACUUGGGUUAAUACUCUAGGAUAGUGGACGGUACUCGCAGAAUAAGCACCGGCUAACUCUGUGCCAGCAGCCGCGGUAAUACAGAGGGUGCGAGCGUUAAUCGGAUUUAAUGGGCGUAAAGCGUGCGUAGGCGGCUUCUUAAGUCGGAUGUGAAAUCCCUGCGCUUAACUUAGGAAUUGCAUUCGAUACUGGGAAGCUAGAGUAUGGGAGAGGAUGGUAGAAUUCAAGGUGUAGCGGUGAAAUGCGUAGAGAUCUGGAGGAAUACAGAUGGCGAAGGCAGCCAUCUGGCCUAAUACUGACGCUGAGGUACGAAAGCAUGGGGAGCAAACAGG
rnacentral:rRNA from 1 species